GACCCCUUAGCUCAGUGGUAGAGCGUCGCAUUCCAGUUGGAUCUGCGUAUCGCGAAGGCCGUCCGUUCAAUCCGGGCAGGGGUCA